UGCCAUCAACAGAAAGAUAAAGGGAU
rnacentral:piRNA from 1 species